rnacentral:rRNA from 1 species
UACGGGAGGCAGCAGUGGGGAAUAUUGCACAAUGGGCGCAAGCCUGAUGCAGCCAUGCCGCGUGUAUGAAAAAGGCCUUCGGGUUGUAAAGUACUUUCAGUCGUGAGGAAGGUGUUAAGGUUAAUAACCUUAGCAAUUGACGUUAGCGACAGAAGAAGCACCGGCUAACUCCGUGCCAGCAGCCGCGGUAAUACGGAGGGUGCGAGUGUUAAUCGGAAUUACUGGGCGUAAAGGGCACGCAGGCGGUUAAUUAAGUUGGAUGUGAAAUCCCCGGGCUUAACCUGGGAAUGGCAUUCAAGACUGGUUAGCUAGAGUCUUGUAGAGGGGGUAGAAUUCCAUGUGUAGCGGUGAAAUGCGUAGAGAUGUGGAGGAAUACCGGUGGCGAAGGCGGCCCCUGGACAAAGACUGACGCUCAUGUGCGAAAGCGUGGGGAGCAAACAGGGAUUAGAUACC